UGAUGACUGUUCCUCUCACUGCUAGGAGCCUUAAGCAGUGGGAUUUUGGUCCAUCAGAUAUAAAAGAUGACUUGUCUUCACUCAGAGCACCAUGAGGACAGCUUGGCUGUCUACUAGUGCCUUCUGAUUUUUGCAGAGUGAAACAAUU
ensembl:snoRNA small nucleolar RNA, H/ACA box 79B